rnacentral:rRNA from 1 species
GACGAACGCUGGCGGCGUGCCUAACACAUGCAAGUGGAGCGACGAACCAGGGCUUGCCCUGGGGCGAAGCCGCGAACGGGUGAGUAACACGUGGGUAACCUGCCCCGAUGACCGGGACAACCCGAGGAAACUCGGGCUAAUACCGGAUGUGCUCACAGCACUCAAGUGCAGUGAGUAAAGGAAGCUUCGGCCUCCGCAUCGGGAGGGGCCCGUGGCCCAUUAGCUUGUUGGUGAGGUAACGGCUCACCAAGGCAACGAUGGGUAGCUGGUCUGAGAGGACGAUCAGCCACACUGGGACUGAGACACGGCCCAGACUCCUACGGGAGGCAGCAGUGGGGAAUCUUGCGCAAUGCGCGAAAGCGUGACGCAGCAACGCCGCGUGGGGGAAGAAGGCCUUCGGGUUGUAAACCCCUUUCAGGAGGGACGAAGGUGCGGCGGCGAACAGCCGACCGUACUGACGGUACCUCCAGAAGAAGCCCCGGCUAACUACGUGCCAGCCGCCGCAGUAACAC